AAAAAAAACUGAAAAAUGUAUGUAAAAAUUAAGGUUAAUCCCACCUAAAAAUACAGCAUUUAUUUACAGUGUAGUUAGGCACCCACUAAAUGGCGUAACCAAACAUUUGAAUUAUAAAUUGGUAGAAAAUGAUAUACUGUAAAAUGUAGACAGCUAAUAUGUUUAUUUAUUACAGAAUAGAUAUUUUUCAAUCAAAAUGCAGACGGUAAUAUACCCCACACACACUUGCUUCUGUAUUUUAUUUUAAUUGGCAGAUGGUACAGGAAAGCACUGGGGAUUCUGUUUUAAACUCCCACAUUUUGGACACACUCAAAAACCUGGGUGUAGAAACCCUGGAUGAUUUCAGAUUUGUAAAAGAUGAUGAUCUCCUGAUGGUCCUCAAGCCAAUAGAAGUUCGAAAACUCCUAGCCAGCUUUACAGUCACAUGUGAAACCACGAUUUCCAGCAGUCCGUGCUCAUCCAGAACAGAGACCUCAACAGUCUCCAGCCCAGGGUGCUCUUUUACACAGAGUUGUAUCGAGUUGGAUGAAUCACUUUCACCUUUGGAAGCUGACUGGUUCCUUCGGUUUGAGAUACCAUGGGAAAAACUCCCUACUGACCUCCUUUACAAGCUAGAAAGGCAAGAAAGGCCAUCGCCAAAGCAACGCAGAGAAAUGAUACGACUCAUUAUUAAUGAAGUCACAGGGGUCUGCAAGAGGCCUUCAAAGAAACAUCUUACAGAUAUAGCAAGAAGAAUUGUGGCAAAAUAUCCUAAAUCUUUGCAGGAUGUUAUCAAAGGCCACAUAGUUGGCAGUGGAUAUGAUUCCUUGGUAAAACAGCUGCAGAGCAGAGCAGAUAAUGUGAAGCGUACACAGUUUUCUACCCCCAAAAGACAGUUUCAACACAGUAGUGGGAGCGACACGGAAGAAGUUCCUGCAAAGGAACGAGCUUUACCUCAAGACACUUACGGUUGCAUAAACUGGGAUCCCGAGCACCUGCCAAUCACAGAGACACUUGCAAGUCAAAAACAGCAACAAGAAGAAAUGAAAACCAUGUUCAGAGAAAGAAACUGGGAUACACAGAUCAUCACCAAAAAAAAUGAUGGCAACGUACUACACUCAGAGAAAAGACAUCAUACGAGGUAUGGAAACUGAAAAAAUAAGCAGGGAGUGGCCAUUUCUGUUUGAAAUGCCAGGAUUACAAGCACACUUCAGGGCACUUACAGGUGUACAAUUAGAAGGGAAAUUUUUUGAGACCGUAAAAAACAAAUCGCACAGAAUUCUGGCCUACAUGGACACUCUCAACAAUGAGAAACAAAGAAAAACUGCAAGAGUUUUGGCACAGAUCGAAGUUGCAAAGGGCGACACAAAGUCUAAAUUACCGGAGAUGCCAGGGUUGGUUUUGCUGCUGCUUGCUUACUUUGGUGAAGACGACAAGCAAAUGUUUUUCCAGGUGGAUGACACUUGCUUACCUUCUGAAGUGCCAACAUCUGAUCUGCCUGCAUCACCUUGCAUUAUUUUCUGUGGAGAUUCCCUUCUGACUGCAUCCCGCUUAAUGCUGAGCAUUGAUAAAGUUGUUGUUACAGAACAACAAACUAAUUUUGUGGAAGCUUUGCUUAUGAUGUUUGCAUCCUACUACUGCUUGAACAUCCAUUACCCGUCAGAGUUGGGAGCAACACUUGAAUUCCUUCAAAGGUACAGUAU